rnacentral:lncRNA from 13 species
AUGAGACGACACACAACAUAUGAUGAAGACCUGCGAGAUGCUACCAGGAGGAAAAGCGAGAAGGACCCUGAGGAUAAACAACACGAAUCCACCAUUUACUCAUUCAGGACACGGGAGCAGGACACAGCAGCCACAGGCUUCCAGCGCUUCCUCAAUGUCCUCAACAAAGGGGUGGACAUCAACAAGCUCUCAAAUAUUGUCAACAACGUGAAUGAGUUACCCCCUAUGCAGGAGGGCCAUCCCAUGACUACCUACAGGAGUGAGUAUAAGGGGGCCCCAGCUCAGAGCUCUCAGGAUUGCUUGGGACCCCACAGUAGAGCUCUGCCACAGGACCACAGUCACUCACACAUUCUUGGAGAAAGGAGGCUGGAUCUCCCACACGGCCAGCUCCAGAGCCUGCUGGAGUCCAUCGGGCUAGACCUGGGGGUGGAGGAGUUGGGCCGACUGUCAGACCGGACCAAGGAGAGGCUGUACGGGAUGAAGAGAGACCAGGAGAGGAGUCCCCUGACGUCAGACAGGCACUCUAGAACUAGAGACUGGGACAGAGAACGAGACGAGGACACAGAGAGGAACGGAUCUAAGAGAAACGGAGAAAGAGACAGAGAGAGAGACUGGGUCAGUUCUGAGCGAGACCGAGAGAGAGACGGGGACAAAUCUGAGCGAGAUAGGGACAGGCGCUCUAAUACCAGGGACAGGCACUCUGGUUCCAGGGACAGGCGCUCUAGUACCAGGGACAGAGACGAGGACAGGCGCUCUAGUGCCAGGGACAGAGACGAGGACAGGCGCUCUAGUGCCAGGGACAGAAACAGGGACAGGCGCUCUAGUGCCAGGGACAGGCGCUCUAGUACCAGGGACAGGCGUUCUAAUACCAGGGACAGGCGCUCUAGUACCAGGGACAGGAACAGGCGCUCUAGUACCACGGACAGGCUCUUUACUAACAGGGACAGAGACAGGGACAGGUGCUCUAGCAGCAGAGAAAGGGACAGGCGCUCUAGUAACAGGGACCGAGACCGGGACAGGCGCUCUAGUAACAGGGACAGAGACAGGAACAGGCGCUGUAGUACCAGGGACUGUGACAGAGAUGGCGACUGGGCCGAAGGAAGCGACAAUGAUUGGUAUAGGGACAAGUCCAAGGAAAGCUCUGCUGAGCUCAACACNNNNNNNNNNAGGGACAGGCGCUCUAAUACCAGGGACAGGCACUCUGGUUCCAGGGACAGGCGCUCUAGUACCAGGGACAGGGACAGACACUCUGGUUCCAGACACUCUGGUACCAGAGACAGCAACAGGGACAGGCGCUCUAGUACCAGGGACAGAGACGAGGACAGGCGCUCUAGUGCCAGGGACAGAGACGAGGACAGGCGCUCUAGUGCCAGGGACAGAAACAGGGACAGGCGCUCUAGUGCCAGGGACAGGCGCUCUAGUACCAGGGACAGGCGUUCUAAUACCAGGGACAGGCGCUCUAGUACCAGGGACAGGAACAGGCGCUCUAGUACCACGGACAGGCUCUUUACUAACAGGGACAGAGACAGGGACAGGUGCUCUAGCAGCAGAGAAAGGGACAGGCGCUCUAGUAACAGGGACCGAGACCGGGACAGGCGCUCUAGUAACAGGGACAGAGACAGGAACAGGCGCUGUAGUACCAGGGACUGUGACAGAGAUGGCGACUGGGCCGAAGGAAGCGACAAUGAUUGGUAUAGGGACAAGUCCAAGGAAAGCUCUGCUGAGCUCAACACNNNNNNNNNNAGCCCACUAGCAACCCCCAGGUCACAUCUACCAAGCCCGCUAGCACCCGCCAGCUUACAUACAUCCAGACUGCUAGCAACCCCCAGGUCACACCUACCCAGCCCGAUAAUGAACUCAAGUUCACAAGCAUGGCUGUACUGACGCCAGCACUGAAAGUGUUGACCCCAGGCCCCAUCUCCUUGAACAAGGCCCAACAACUGAAGGAGCUGUCACCCCCCCGCUGUCUGCAUUACGUUAAGACGGUGGUGCCCAAGGGAAGCAAACGCCGCAUGAGACGGUCAAGAGUCACGAGAAAUAGGCAGGCGCUUGAAGAAAGGUGUAAUAAAUACAGGAAAGAGGUUCUGAGAAAGAGGAGAAUAUAUCGAGAUCUCCAAGGGAAGAGAGAUGGACUGAUUGCAAGAGCUGCAGCGAAAGUGGCCGCUCGGUUAGCUGCAAAGUACCCCAGGGCCCUCUCUGAAGCGGAGGCAGAGAGCGAUGUUGAAGGGGAGAAAAAAACAAUGCCAGAAGAAGUGAUUAAGGGGAAACUAAAGAAGAAGGUUUGUAAUUACUUCUGGAAGUACAUUAUUAUCAUUGGUACGAUAGACCGUGGCUUACUUCUAUGCUGUUCUCACUUUGUCGUUAUUGCUUGUGUCUUUUUGCUAGCGAUAUUAUUCACCAUUCAGUCAUAUUUUUAUUGACAUGC